ACACUAGAUUGCAUUGUCACUGGGAAAUAAGCUCAUUUUAUUAGCUUGUUUCUCAGCUAGCUUGUGUAGAAAUUUGCCACAGUUGUUACUGCUGGGCACCUGCCCUGGAUCUGAUCAUCAAUUAUAUCAUCUCUUCCAUCUGAUGGACUGCACCUCACCCCUUGCUUUUUCAGAGCUGGCGAAGCUGGGCCAAGGAAAGCGAUAGUGCCAGCUGAGUGGAAUGUGCAGGAAGGGACCGAGGAGGGGCACUAUGUACUGGAGAAAAGAGAUGGGGUCUCCAGGACAGGGGUAAGGACACUAGACUGAGGACACAAAGGAAGGAAACCGCAAGGAAGUAGAGUAGGGAAGUGGGGAGCAUGCUGAGGAGAGAGGUCAAGAGAUGGUGACCGCUCUCUGCAUGCCCCAAGGAGAUGGUGAUGACACUCCCAAGUCCAUGUGGGAAUCCCUCCUUCUGUGGGCCUCAGUCUGUCAUCUUCCUUGGAGCAGGACCAAAGUAAAUAAGAUAAAGUCACAAUUUCUCAUCCUUCUUCACUCAACUUUUCUUUGAGGAGAGAAUACAGCAGUUUCAAGGACAAGGGAUUUGUACCACUGCUCCUCACUCAAUAAACAUCAGAGACAGAAUUUGAACGAAUGCUACACUCGUAAGGGAAGAACGCCUCAAGAAAGCAUCUGUACCAUUCCAGCAAAUACACUGUGCAUGCUCCCCUCCCAAAUGCUAGCAGGCCACUGCACAUAUGGACAGCCCACCCCAAGGGAAGAAUUGGGAGAAGUAACCCAA